rnacentral:rRNA from 1 species
CAGCAGUCGCCGCGGGAAUACGAAGGGUGCAAGCGUUAAUCGGAAUUACUGGGCGUAAAGCGUGCGUAGGCGGUGAGUUAAGUCUGCUGUGAAAUCCCCGGGCUCAACCUGGGAAUGGCAGUGGAUACUGGCUCGCUAGAGUGUGUCAGAGGAUGGUGGAAUUCCCGGUGUAGCGGUGAAAUGCGUAGAGAUCGGGAGGAACAUCAGUGGCGAAGGCGGCCAUCUGGGACAACACUGACGCUGAGGCACGAAAGCGUGGGGAGCAAACAGGAUUAGAGACCCCCGUAGUCCCUGUCUCUUAUAC